rnacentral:rRNA from 1 species
CCUACGGGCGGCAGCAGUGGGGAAUAUUGCACAAUGGGCGCAAGCCUGAUGCAGCCAUGCCGCGUGUAUGAAGAAGGCCUUCGGGUUGUAAAGUACUUUCAGCGGGGAGGAAGGUGUUGUGGUAAUAACCACAACAAUUGACGUUACCCGCAGAAGAAGCACCGGCUAACUCCGUGCCAGCAGCCGCGGUAAUACGGAGGGUGCAAGCGUUAAUCGGAAUUACUGGGCGUAAAGCGCACGCAGGCGGUCUGUCAAGUCGGAUGUGAAAUCCCCGGGCUCAACCUGGGAACAGCAUUCGAAACUGGCAGGCUAGAGUCUUGUAGAGGGGGGUAGAAUUCCAGGUGUAGCGGUGAAAUGCGUAGAGAUCUGGAGGAAUACCGGUGGCGAAGGCGGCCCCCUGGACAAAGACUGACGCUCAGGUGCGAAAGCGUGGGGAGCAAACAGGAUUAGAUACCCUCGUAGUC